rnacentral:rRNA from 1 species
GCGGGAAGAGCUCAAAUUUAUAAUCUGGCACCUUCGGUGUCCGAGUUGUAAUCUCUAGAAGUGUUUUCCGCGUUGGACCGCACACAAGUCUGUUGGAAUACAGCGGCACAGUGGUGAUACCCCCGUACACGGUGCGGACGCCCAGCGCUUUGUGAUACACUUUCAAUGAGUCGAGUUGUUUGGGAAUGCAGCUCAAAUUGGGUGGUAAAUUCCAUCUAAAGCUAAAUAUUGGCGAGAGACCGAUAGCGAACAAGUACCGUGAGGGAAAGAUGAAAAGCACUUUGGAAAGAGAGUUAACAGUACGUGAAAUUGUUGGAAGGGAAACGCUUGAAGUCAGACUUGCUUGCCGGAGCUUGCUUCGGUUUGCAGGCCAGCAUCAGUUUUCCGGGGUGGAUAAUGGUGGUUUGAAGGUAGCAGCCUCGGCUGUGUUAUAGCUUUCCACUGGAUACAUCCUGGGGGACUGAGGAACGCAGCGUGCUUUUUGCGAAGGUUUCGACCUUUUCACGCUUAGGAUGCUGGUGUAAUGACUUUAAACGACCCGUCUU